rnacentral:rRNA from 1 species
UACGUAGGGGGCGAGCGUUGUCCGGAUUUAUUGGGCGUAAAGAGCUCGUAGGCGGCUUGGCAAGUCGGGUGUGAAACCUCCAGCUCAACCUGGAGACGCCACUCGAUACUGCCAUGGCUAGAGUCCGGUAGGGGACCACGGAAUUCCUGGUGUAGCGGUGAAAUGCGCAGAUAUCAGGAAGAACACCCGUGGCGAAGGCGGCUCUCUGGGACGGUACUGACGCUGAGACGCGAAAGCGUGGGGAGCGAACAGG